rnacentral:rRNA from 1 species
AGUCGAACGGCAGCAUAGGAGCUUGCUCCUGAUGGCGAGUGGCGAACGGGUGAGUAAUAUAUCGGAACGUGCCCUAGAGUGGGGGAUAACUAGUCGAAAGACUAGCUAAUACCGCAUACGAUCUACGGAUGAAAGUGGGGGAUCGCAAGACCUCAUGCUCCUGGAGCGGCCGAUAUCUGAUUAGCUAGUUGGUGGGGUAAAAGCCUACCAAGGCAACGAUCAGUAGCUGGUCUGAGAGGACGACCAGCCACACUGGGACUGAGACACGGCCCAGACUCCUACGGGAGGCAGCAGUGGGGAAUUUUGGACAAUGGGGGCAACCCUGAUCCAGCAAUGCCGCGUGAGUGAAGAAGGCCUUCGGGUUGUAAAGCUCUUUUGUCAGGGAAGAAACGGUAGUAGCGAAUAACUAUUACUAAUGACGGUACCUGAAGAAUAAGCACCGGCUAACUACGUGCCAGCAGCCGCGGUAAUACGUAGGGUGCAAGCGUUAAUCGGAAUUACUGGGCGUAAAGCGUGCGCAGGCGGUUGUGUAAGUCAGAUGUGAAAUCCCCGGGCUCAACCUGGGAAUUGCAUUUGAGACUGCACGGCUAGAGUGUGUCAGAGGGGGGUAGAAUUCCACGUGUAGCAGUGAAAUGCGUAGAUAUGUGGAGGAAUACCGAUGGCGAAGGCAGCCCCCUGGGAUAACACUGACGCUCAUGCACGA